rnacentral:rRNA from 1 species
ACGAACGCUGGCGGCGUGCUUAACACAUGCAAGUCGAACGCGCUUUGUUCCUUCGGGAGCAAAGUGAGUGGCGAACGGGUGAGUAACACGUGAGCAACCUGCCCUUGACUCUGGAAUAACAGCUGGAAACAGCUGCUAGUACCGGAUACGACCUCCGAUGGCAUCAUCUGGAGGUGGAAAGCUCCGACGGUCAAGGAUGGGCUCGCGGCCUAUCAGCUUGNGGUGAGGUAACGGCUCACCAAGGCUUCGACGGGUAGCCGGCCUGAGAGGGCGACCGGCCACACUGGGACUGAGAUACGGCCCAGACUCCUACGGGAGGCAGCAGUGGGGAAGUAUUGCACAAUGGGCGCAAGCCUGAUGCAGCAACGCCGCGUGCGGGAUGACGGCCUCGGUUGUAACG